rnacentral:rRNA from 1 species
UACGUAGGGUGCGAGCGUUGUCCGGAAUUAUUGGGCGUAAAGAGCUCGUAGGCGGUGUGUCACGUCGGCCGUGAAACAUGCGCUUAACUGUGGCGUGCGGUCGAUACGGGCAUCACUGGAGUUCGGCAGGGGAGACUGGAAUUCCUGGUGUAGCGGUGAAAUGCGCAGAUAUCAGGAGGAACACCGGUGGCGAAGGCGGGUCUCUGGGCCGAUACUGACGCUGAGGAGCGAAAGCGUGGGGAGCAAACAGG